rnacentral:rRNA from 1 species
UACGAAGGGGGGCUAGCGUUGCUCGGAAUUACUGGGCGUAAAGCGCACGUAGGCGGCUUUCUAAGUCGGGGGGUGAAAUCCUGGAGCUCAACUCCAGAACUGCCUUCGAUACUGGGAGAGCUCGAGUCCGGGAGAGGUGAGUGGAACUGCGAGUGUAGAGGUGAAAUUCGUAGAUAUUCGCAAGAACACCAGUGGCGAAGGCGGCUCACUGGCCC